rnacentral:lncRNA from 1 species
UUGGGAAAUGUGUCCCAAAAAGCCAAUCGUCAAGCUGUUGAUGGUUGAGCAACCAAGUAUUGUAAUUGAUUUGUUAAUAAAUAAAAUAUAUUUGGCAUCUUCAUCAUAAGCUUUCAUCUUCUAAUGAACUCCAUUGUUAUGAUGAAGUCCUUAGGACUAUUUAAGUUCGAUAAAGAGAGGAUUUAUCGAUUAAUCCUUAAAAUUAUUCACGACCAAAUGAUAAGCUGUUAAUAAGGACGACAGCUUCUAUCGAGCAUAGGUCGCUGUAGGCCAUAUGGGUUGGUUGUCCUCUUAACCAAGGAGUGUGGAGACACUGGUAUGGCAUACAGGUG